rnacentral:rRNA from 1 species
AGAGUUUGAUCAUGGCUCAGAAUCAACGCUGGCGGCGCGCCUAACACAUGCAAGUCGAACGAGAAAGUGGAGCAAUCCAUGAGUACAGUGGCGUACGGGUGAGUAACACGUGGGUGAUCUACCCUUUGGUGGGGAAUAACUUUGGGAAACCGAAGCUAAUACCGCAUAAUCCCGAGAGGGAAAAGCAGCAAUGCGCCGAAGGAGGAGCCCGCGGCCGAUUAGCUAGUUGGUGAGGUAACGGCUCACCAAGGCAAAGAUCGGUAGCCGGCCUGAGAGGGCACACGGCCACACUGGCACUGAAACACGGGCCAGACUCCUACGGGAGGCAGCAGUGGGGAAUCUUGCACAAUGGGGGAAACCCUGAUGCAGCGACGCCGCGUGAGCGAUGAAGCCCUUCGGGGUGUAAAGCUCUUUCGGCAGGGAAGAUUAUGACGGUACCUGCAGAAGCAGCUGCGGCUAACUACGUGCCAGCAGCCGCGGUAAUACGUAGGCAGCAAGCGUUGUUCGGAGUUACUGGGCGUAAAGGGUGUGUAGGCGGCUUUUUAAGUUUGGUGUGAAAUCUCCCGGCUCAACCGGGAGGGUGCGCCGAAUACUGAGAGGCUAGAGUGCGGGAGAGGAAAGUGGAAUUCCUGGUGUAGCGGUGAAAUGCGUAGAUAUCAGGAGGAACACCGGUGGUGUAGACGGCUUUCUGGACCGUAACUGACGCUGAAACACGAAAGCGUGGGUAGCAAACAGGAUUAGAUACCCUAGUAGUCC